rnacentral:rRNA from 1 species
UUGAACGCUGGCGGCAUGCCUUACACAUGCAAGUCGAGCGGCAGCGCGGGGGCAACCCUGGCGGCGAGCGGCGAACGGGUGAGUAAUACAUCGGAACGUGUCCAGUAGCGGGGGAUAACCUGUCGAAAGAUAGGCUAAUACCGCAUACGAUCUACGGAUGAAAGCGGGGGACCGCAAGGCCUCGCACUGUUGGAGCGGCCGAUGUCGGAUUAGCUAGUUGGCGGGGUAAAAGCCCACCAAGGCGACGAUCCGUAGCUGGUCUGAGAGGACGACCAGCCACACUGGAACUGAGACACGGUCCAGACUCCUACGGGAGGCAGCAGUGGGGAAUUUUGGACAAUGGGGGCAACCCUGAUCCAGCCAUGCCGCGUGAGUGAAGAAGGCCUUCGGGUUGUAAAGCUCUUUCGGUGAAGACGAAACGGUUCGUGACAACACCACGGACUAAUGACGGUACUCACAGAAGAAGCACCGGCUAACUACGU